rnacentral:ncRNA from 1 species
GAAAGCCGUGUGCAAUGAAAAGUGUAAGAACGGCUUGGGGAGGGAUCUUUACUUGUUUAUUUAAUUUAACAUGACAUUUAUUUUAUUUAACAAGAAACUUAUCUACUCCAU